rnacentral:rRNA from 1 species
GGGACACCCGCUGAGUUUAAGCAUAUCAAUAAGCGGAGGAGAAGAAACUUACGAGGAUUCCCUUAGUAACGGCGAGCGAACCGGGAUCGGCCCAGCUUGAGAAUCGGACGGCCGCGCCGUUCGAAUUGUAGUCUGUAGAAGCGUCCUCAGCGACGGACCGGGCCCAAGUCCACUGGAAGGUGGCGCCGGAGAGGGUGAGAGCCCCGUCGUGCCCGGACCCUGCCGCAUCACGAGGCGCUGUCGGCGAGUCGGGUUGUUUGGGAAUGCAGCCCCAAUUGGGCGGUAAAUUCCGUCCAAGGCUAAAUACUGGCGAGAGACCGAUAGCGAACAAGUACCGCGAGGGAAAGGUGAAAAGGACUUUGAAAAGAGAGUCAAAGAGUGCUUGAAAUUGU